GUCAUAACCAAUUUCUCCAACUUGCUGAUCUUUUAUCACCAGACAAGAACCUGGGAAGGCUUAGCAGACUAUUAACCCUGGUAACACCUUCUAAAGCUGACCACUCCUCAUCCUCAGCAGUAGAAAUACACUCGGCUAGGCUCCUCUUUGAUUGGCCCUGGCUCUUCACAAAAAACUUUUCUGUUGACUCUGGGGCUAGGCUCCUCUUUGAUUGGCCCUGGCUCUUCACAAAAAACUUUUCUGUUGACUCUGGGACGGGAACAAUCUCAGAAGAACCCUGUAAAUUUCUCAAAUUAUCAACAGCCAAUGCAUGAGAAUCGCCAGGGACAUCUAAGGCCGUA
rnacentral:lncRNA from 1 species